CGCUGAGCCACCUAGGAUGCUUGUGGUCACCCAGCUAGUACAUGGCUGAACCCAGGGAGGCCAUCUUCAAGGAGAUCUGACACCACUAGGAGCAAAGACUCCCCUUUAAUCUCCUUGGAAGGGACUGUACCAGGUCGUCCCGACUAUCCAGAUGGCAGUCAGGCUCCAGGGACUUGAACCUUGGAUAUACAUCUCACCACUGAAGAAGAUCCCACCUGAUACCUGGUGCUGUACGAAUGUUGGAGACCUUGAAGCAAACUGAGGAGGAAGAGUAGCGGACAUUCAGAGUCCUGGAUCAACCAGAAUUCAAAUGGAUUUAAGAGGCAGAAGACACAGCGGGAGCAAAAAGGAGGAAAAGAAGGACAUAUUCUUUGCAAUCCUCUUCGAUGCCAGGGAAGCGGGGACCAUUUCCUCAUUGACUGGGAUACACAGCAACUGGAACUCAUUCACUGCAGGUUGGAGUGUAAAACACAACAGUGUUGAAGAC